rnacentral:rRNA from 1 species
UACGGGGGGGGCAAGCGUUGUUCGGAAUUACUGGGCGUAAAGGGCUCGUAGGCGGCCAACUAAGUCGAACGUGAAAUCCCCGGGCUCAACCCGGGAACUGCGUCCGAUACUGGUAGGCUUGAAUUCGGGAGAGGGAUGCGGAAUUCCAGGUGUAGCGGUGAAAUGCGUAGAUAUCUGGAGGAACACCGGUGGCGAAGGCGGCAUCCUGGACCGACAUUGACGCUGAGGCGCGAAAGCCAGGGGAGCAAACGGG